rnacentral:rRNA from 1 species
CUUACACAUGCAAGUCGAACGGCAGCGCGGGAGCAAUCCUGGCGGCGAGUGGCGAACGGGUGAGUAAUAUAUCGGAACGUGCCCAGUAGUGGGGGAUAGCCCGGCGAAAGCCGGAUUAAUACCGCAUACGACCUGAGGGUGAAAGCGGGGGAUCGCAAGACCUCGCGCUACUGGAGCGGCCGAUAUCAGAUUAGCUAGUUGGUGGGGUAAAGGCCUACCAAGGCAACGAUCUGUAGUUGGUCUGAGAGGACGACCAGCCACACUGGGACUGAGACACGGCCCAGACUCCUACGGGAGGCAGCAGUGGGGAAUUUUGGACAAUGGGCGCAAGCCUGAUCCAGCAAUGCCGCGUGCAGGAAGAAGGCCUUCGGGUUGUAAACUGCUUUUGUCAGGGAAGAAAUCUUCUGGGCUAAUACCCCGGGAGGAUGACGGUACCUGAAGAAUAAGCACCGGCUAACUACGUGCCAGCAGCCGCGGUAAUACGUAGGGUGCGAGCGUUAAUCGGAAUUACUGGGCGUAAAGCGUGCGCAGGCGGCUUUGCAAGACAGAGGUGAAAUCCCCGGGCUCAACCUGGGAACUGCCUUUGUGACUGCAAGGCUAGAGUACGGCAGAGGGGGAUGGAAUUCCGCGUGUAGCAGUGAAAUGCGUAGAUAUGCGGAGGAACACCGAUGGCGAAGGCAAUCCCCUGGGCCUGUACUGACGCUCAUGCACGAAAG